GUCAGGGGAAGAGAGGCAAAGGCAGCCCCACAGAGGUGCCCUGCAUAUUCACACACAGACACGCUGGAAGCAUCCGGCAGAGAGCAGAAAAGGUGGUAGAUCUAAGACUGAAAAGCAAAAGCAACAAGGGUGAGCCCGGAGGAGAACAUUAUGAUAGAGCACAAGAAAGCCCAAGCAGGGGGAGUAGCAGAAGGAGAGGGAGAAGGGACGCCAUGGUGGGACCCGAUCUCAGAACCCCAGGAUCAUUACCUGAGCUGAAGGCAGGUGAUUAACCGACUGAGCCACCCAGAGCACUCUCAAGUCAACAAGACUCCUCUUGGGCAGCCCCGAUGGCCCAGCGGAUUAGCACCUGCCUUCAGCCCAGGGCAUGAUCCUGGAGACCUGGGAUCAAGUCCCACAUCGG